AUUGAACGCUGGCGGCAUGCCUAACACAUGCAAGUCGAGCGAGCGGCGGACGGGUGUGUAAUGUAUGGGGUAUGCUGGCCAGCGGGGGAGAACAACAGGAAAAGGCGGCUACUACCGCAUACUGUCGGAGAAACGAUAUGGGAUUAGCUAGUGGGUAGGGAAAUGGCUUACCUAGGCGACGAUCCCUAGCUGGUCUGCGAGGAUGAUCAGCCACACUGGGACGGAGACACGGCCCAGACUCCUACGGAGGCAGCAGUGGGGACUAUUCCACAAUGGGCGCAAGCCUGAGGCAGCCAUGCCGCGUGUAUGAAGAGGGCCCUAGGGUUGUAAAGUACUUUCAGUCGGGAGGCGUUACCGGCAGAAGAAGCCCCGGCUAACUCCGUGCCAGCCGCCGCGGUAAUAC
rnacentral:rRNA from 1 species